rnacentral:rRNA from 1 species
CUUUCGCCCGCCGGCGACCGGCGCACGGGUGAGUAACACGUAUGCAACCUGGCCGCCACAGGGGGAUAACCCGCGGAAACGCGGCCUAAUACCCCGUGACGCCACCGGAGGGCAUCCUCCGGUGGCCAAAGGAGCGAUCCGGUGGCGGAUGGGCAUGCGGCGCAUUAGCUAGACGGCGGGGUGACGGCCCACCGUGGCGACGAUGCGUAGGGGUUCUGAGAGGAAGGCCCCCCCAUUGGAACUGAGACACGGUCCAAACUCCUACGGAAGGCAGCAG